CGAUCGGGAGGCUGCCUGUGGGAAGGUGGCCAGGUAUGGAUCGGAUCCCCCCGCGUUCAAGGGCGCGCGACCGUAGCCCGACGGUCGUGCA
rnacentral:ncRNA from 1 species